AUGUGAUCGUCUCUCGCAUAUCAAUAAGCGGAGGAAAAGAAACUAACAAGGAUUCCCCUAGUAACGGCGAGUGAAGCGGGAAGAGCUCAAAUUUGAAAUCUUAAAGGGUUUCCCUUUACGAAUUGUAGUUUAAAGAAGUGUUUUCUGUUGAGGUUUUGGUAAAAGUUCUUUGGAAUAGGACAUCAUAGAGGGUGAGAAUCCCGUAUUUGACCUUUACUUUCAACUUUGUGAUACACUUUCAAAGAGUCGGAUUGUUUGGGAAUGCAGUCCAAAAUGGGUGGUAAAUUUCAUCUAAAGCUAAAUAUUGGCGAGAGACCGAUAGCGAACAAGUACCGUGAGGGAAAGAUGAAAAGAACUUUGAAAAGAGAGUUAAACAGUACGUGAAAUUGUCAAAAGGGAAGCGUUUGACACCAGUGUUGUUUUUCUGAAAAUCAAUUAAAGAACUGUUUAUGCUAAGUUGUUUAGACUUUAUCAGCUAGCUGUUUAGUUUUGAGCUUUACUUUAAUGCACUUUUCAGUUAACAAGUCAACAUCAAUUUCUUUUGCUGUAAAAAAGCUUGAGGAAGGUGGCUUGAGAUUCGUCUUAAGUGUUUAUAGCCUCUUGCCUAUGCAGUCGGAGAGAUUGAGGUCUGCAGCGUAGAUCCUUCGGGGCUAAAUGCAUUUGUGCUAAGUUAUAGCAUUUUAUAGACAACUUGUUGACUAUGAUUUGUCUUGUAGCUUACUCGCUUAUGUUAUUUUACCUACGCUUAGGAUGUUGAAUCUGUGCGAGACUAC
rnacentral:rRNA from 1 species